ACCAGACCAUCUCCCGGCGCGGGUGGAAUUCCCGCGAUCUGUCUCAUUCCCUGCGCCGCCGAGAAAAGUGAGAUCCCGCGAGACUCCCAGGGGUCUCAUUCUGUCACCCAGGUUGGAGUGCAGUGGCAACAUCAUAGCUCACUGCAGCCUUGAACCCCUGGGCUCAAGUGAUCCUCCUGCUUCAGCCUCCUGAGUAGCUGGGGCUACAGGCACUUUCCCUACAUUUUCAAAGGCCUGCAUCAUCACAUCUGCCACAGCAUUCUCUAUCAUUGAGGCAUUUUCUCAGGAAAUCACCUGUGAAAUAUUUUGCAGCUAACCACCUACCUGUGCCCCACCAGCCAACAUGCUUUACUCCUGCCAGGCAGCUGUGUCACUCUGGAAGCUUUGAUCAGAAAAUUGUAGUUGCUGUUGCCUCUGAUGUGCAAGUCCAAGAUUCUUGGGCCGCAGGACAUGUUCUGCAUAUAUUCCUGGAGAAUAGACCAACAAUGAGACUGAAUCAGUAACGAAAAGUCUUCUAUGAAAGAAAAACCCAGAACCAUAUUGCUUUACUGCUUAAUUCUAAUAAACUCAUAAAGAACAACAAACACCAAUUCUUCUCAAACUAUUCCAAAAAAUUGAAGCAGGGCAGGGAGGAAUUCUUCCUAACUCAUUCUAAAAGGCCAGCAUUAUCCUGAUACCAAAACCAGACAAGGACACAGCAAAAACAGAGAACUACAGGCCAAUAUCCCUGAUGAUGCUAAAUGGAAAAAUCCUCAACAAAAUACUAGCAAAACCAAUGCAACAACACAGAAAAGAUAAUACACCAUGAUCAAAUGAGAUUUAUCCCAAGUAUGCAAUCAUGAUUCAACAUACACAAAUCAAUACUUGUGAUACAUCACAUCAACAGAGUGAAGGACCAAAAGACAUAUGAUCAUCUCAACAGAUACAGAAAAAGAUUUGAUAUGAUUCAAAAUCCCAUUAUGAUAAAAACUUUUUUUUUUUGAGACAGGGUCUCACUCUGUCACCCAGGCUGGAGUGCAGUGGCAUGAUCAUGGCUCACUGCAGCCUCGACCUCCCAGGCUUACACGAUCCUCCCACCUCAACUUUCCAAAUAGCUAGACUACAGGUGCCUGCCUGUAGUCAAGCCAUAGGUGCCAUUGCCUGGCUAAUUUUUAUAUUUUUUGUAGAGAUGGGAUUUCGCCAUGUUGUCCAGGCUGGUCUCAAAUUCUUGAGCUCAAGCAAUCUGCCCAUCUUGCCCUCCCAAAGUGAUGAGAUUAAAGGCAUAAGCCACCGCACCCAGCCUAUGAUAAAAACUUAAAUCAGGUGUACAGGAAACAUAUCUCAACAUAAUAUAGACAAUAUGUUCCAAACCCACAGCAAACAUCUUAGUGAAUGGGGAAAAGAUAAAAGUCUUUCCUCUAAGAACUGGAAGAAGAUUCGAAUGUCUACUUUCACCACUCUUAUUACCAUAGUUCAGGGAGUCCUAGUCAGAACUAUGGUAAGAGAAAAAAAUAAGGCAAGAAAAAAAAAAAAAAAA
rnacentral:lncRNA from 1 species